rnacentral:rRNA from 1 species
AUGGGGUCCAGGCCGGCUAAUCCUGUGCCCAACCCUGAUGAGAGUUCAUUAUCUCAUAUCAAGAGCCAAGAUAUGUUAGCUGACAAGGUUGUGGACCAAUGGGAUGACAGUGACACUGAAAACUCCUCUGGAAAUGCAUCAUAUCAAAUUGUUCCUUACAAGAAUGUCCAGGGAGAAAACAACUUACCUGUGCUGUCUAAAAAAAGAAAAUUCAUUAUCAGUACAUAUUCUGUGCAAUGUAGUACUUGCCAGAAAUGGAGAGUUGUACCAUCCAAACUGAAAUAUGAGCAAAUCCGAGAGAAUAUUAUACAAGUUCCUUUUUCUUGCAAAUAUGUCCAUGGGUGGAAGCCACAAGUUACAUGCCAUGAUCCAACUGAUAUAUCUGAGGAUAAUGGCAUGGCAUGGGAAAUUGCUAUCCCAUGCAUCCCUCAGACCCCUCUUGGGUACUAUAUCUCUCCCGCAGGCAUAAAAAUAAGAUCCAAGAAAGAGGUCGAAAGGUAUCUUGAAGACAACCCAGACUAUGCUGCCGAUUUACAUUUAUCUCAGUUUUCGUUCAAGGUACCUAAACCUCCAAAUUGCCCUCGUCAGUCAGAGCUUAUUGAACCAACUGAAGUGCCACCUCCGGUUCACGAGGAUCCCGUGCACAACUACAUGCCGGUCCCUCAUGGAGAAGCCAAUCCUGUAACUCACAUACCAGUGACACUAGCUCUACAAGUAUCAGUGAUGCUCUCCAAAAAGAGAAAACUAAACCAGUGA